rnacentral:misc_RNA from 1 species
GAUGAAGAACGUAGCGAAAUGCGAUAAGUAAUGUGAAUUGCAGAAUUCAGUGAAUCAUCGAAUCUUUGAACGCACAUUGCGCCCUCUGGUAUUCCGGGGGGCAUGCCUGUUCGAGCGUCAUUAUAACCACUCAAGCUCUCGCUUGGUAUUGGAGUUCGCGAUCUCGCGGCUCCUAAAAUCAGUGGCGGUGCCUGUCGGCUCUACGCGUAGUAAUACUCCUCGCGAUUGAGUCCGGUAGGUUUACUCGCCAGCAACCCCCAAUUUUUACAGGUUGACCUCGGAUCAGGUAGGGAUACCCGCUGAACUUAAGCAUAUCAAUAAGCGGAGGA